rnacentral:rRNA from 1 species
GUCCCAAGGGUAUGGCUGUUCGCCAUUUAAAGUGGUACGCGAGCUGGGUUUAGAACGUCGUGAGACAGUUCGGUCCCUAUCUGCCGUGGGCGCUGGAGAACUGAGGGGGGCUGCUCCUAGUACGAGAGGACCGGAGUGGACGCAUCACUGGUGUUCGGGUUGUCAUGCCAAUGGCACUGCCCGGUAGCUAAAUGCGGAAGAGAUAAGUGCUGAAAGCAUCUAAGCACGAAACUUGCCCCGAGAUGAGUUCUCCCUGAGACUUAAAGUCUCCUGAAGGAACGUUGAAGACGACGACGUUGAUAGGCCGGGUGUGUAAGCGCAGCGAUGCGUUGAGCUAACCGGUACUAAUGAACCGUGAGGCUUAACCUUACAACGCCGAAG